GUAACGGUGUCUUUAGACACCACCAUUUAUCUUCAAAAAAAUUUAUU
rfam:Picea glauca, whole genome shotgun sequence.